UACGGAGGGGGCUAGCGUUGUUCGGAAUUACUGGGCGUAAAGCGCACGUAGGCGGCUUUGUAAGUUAGAGGUGAAAGCCCAGGGCUCAACCCUGGAAUUGCCUUUAAGACUGCAUCGCUAGAAUUGUGGAGAGGUAAGUGGAAUUCCGAGUGUAGAGGUGAAAUUCGUAGAUAUUCGGAAGAACACCAGUGGCGAAGGCGACUCGCUGGACAGGUAUUGACGCUGAGGUGCGAAAGCGUGGGGAGCAAACAGG
rnacentral:rRNA from 1 species